rnacentral:rRNA from 1 species
UGGGGAAUCUUGGACAAUGGGCGCAAGCCUGAUCCAGCAAUGCCGCGUGUGGGAUGAAGGCCUUCGGGUUGUAAACCACUUUUGGCGGGGGCGAAAUAUCGAGUGCUAAUACCAUUCGGUGAUGACGGUACCCGCAGAAUAAGCACCGGCUAACUACGUGCCAGCAGCCGCGGUAAUACGUAGGGUGCGAGCGUUAAUCGGAAUUACUGGGCGUAAAGCGUGCGCAGGCGGUUUGGUAAGACAGAUGUGAAAUUCCCGGGCUCAACCUGGGGACUGCAUUUGUGACUGCCUAACUAGAGUGCGGCAGAGGGGAGUGGAAUUCCGCGUGUAGCAGUGAAAUGCGUAGAUAUGCGGAGGAACACCGAUGGCGAAGGCAACUCCCUGGGCCUGCACUGACGCUCAUGCACGAAAGCGUGGGGAGCAAACA